rnacentral:rRNA from 1 species
CCUACGGGAGGCAGCAGUGGGGGAUAUUGCACAAUGGAGGGAACUCUGAUGCAGCGACGCCGCGUGAGGGAAGAAGGUUUUCGGAUUGUAAACCUCUGUCUUCGGUGACGAAACGAGACUGUAGCCGAGGAGAAAGCCACGUCUAACUACGUUCCAGCAGCCGCGGUACUACAUAUGUGGGAAGCGUUGUCCAGAAUUACUGUGUGUAAAGUAUGCGUAGGCGGGAAAGCAAGUUGAAUGUUUAAGGUACGGGAUAAACCUGUACAAGCGUUCAAAAAUGUUUUUCUUGAGUGGAGUAGAGGUAAGCGGAAUUCCGAGUGUAGCGGUGAAAUGCGUAAAUAUUAGGAGGAACACCAGUGGCGAAGGCGGCUUACUGGGCUUUAACUGACGCUGAGGCUCGAAAGCGUGGGUAGCAAACAGGAUUAGAUACCCCUGUAGUC